GCACAGCAUCUUCUCUUCUUCGUUCCCAGUUUCUCUAUGCAGAAACUCUCCUUCUCUCUUUCUGUUUUUCUCAUUCGGCCAGCAGCAUUGAAAAGUAGAAAUCUUCCUCUUAAACUCUCUCUUGCUCACCUUCGGCUUCUCUUAAUUCCCAACAGAAGAAUUCUCACUCAAAACACCUUAAACUUUCUUUUGAUUCUCUUCCCUUUCUUCCUCAGUUUCGGCCAAGCAAGAUAGGAAAUUCUCUCAGUUUUUGCCCCUCUCUCUCUCUGGUUGCAGAAAACACAAUAAGAAAAGAGGAAGAGAAUAGCAACAAUAUCUCAUUGAGAAGGUAGCAAAAAUACUGCUGAGAAAAUACCAGAUGACACUGUAGACCGGAGUCUUUUCGUUAUGGAUGGCAUAGACCCUACCCCUAAGAGCAAUAGAUCAAUAAAGACCGGCCUAACUUUUGUAUUGUGCAUAUUUAUUUUGAAUUUCUGAAAAUAUGAUGUAAUAAUUAAAGAACUACUAUGUAUAUAUUCUUAUAAUGAAAUAUAGCCAUGCGCUAUUCCUGGAAAA